GACUUUUUAGUUUAAAAAAAAUAUGGGUUUUGUAAACCUAAGAUAAUAUUUUUAUUAUUAGUCU
rnacentral:tRNA from 4 species